rnacentral:ncRNA from 1 species
CAUCGAGGACGACCUCAGCCUGCGGGCCAUCUACCGUCCGGGACGACCCGG